UAAACAUAGGCUUUCUUAUGUUGAACGGAAGAUAUGACACUCCACACUUCAUAAAAGUAGUUUCGGCAAGAACAGAACAGCUUUUGAACAGCUAUUAUGAGUACGAUGUUAAAAUCACAGUUCAACAUCGUUUUCAACGACGUUUAAAUGUGAAUAGGAUGAAAUUCAUGUCAGAUCACUGACUGUGCAUUGAUUGCAUCAGUACAGGCUGCAACAGCGCAACCAGUGGAGGCCAAUGUACUGACAGCAACAUCCGACUUCUGCAUUUAACUCUGUAUGCUGCUGUCAGUUUUACACAGUCCUGAUGGAAGGAACUGCAGAUGCGGGUUUACACCGAAGAUAGACACAAAAUGCUGGAGUAAACUCAGCGGGUCAGGCAGCGUCUCUGGAGAAAAGGGAACAGGUGACGAUUUGGGUCGAGACCCUAAUUCAGACUGAGAUUCAGCGGAGAAGGAAACUAGGGGGUUCCAAGAUGUUCAUUCUCAUUGUAGGGAAGAGCUGCAGAUGCUGGUUUAAAUCGAAGGUAGACACAAAAUGCUGGAGUAACUCAGUGGGACUGGCAGCAUCUCUGGAGAGAAGAAAUGGGUGGCGUUUCGUGUCGAGACCCUUCUUCAGACUCAUAUUCAUUCUCAUGUUGUGCAUCAUCCAAUGUAAAAUCCCACCAGUUUAUGCACCUCUGGGAUGGGAUUAUGAUGCUGAUCAUUCCCACUCAGUUUCAAUUCAUAGCUUCCCAGAUGGAUCCAACUACGCAGUGUUUAUUUUAUCAAUAAAAAUGUUGCCAUGGUCACAUGUUGAAAAUAUUGCCUUUUCAGACAUUUGGUUUUGUCAUAAACUUAUGACAUGAUUCUAACAGAAUAUCGCGGAGAUUAAGUGGGAUGAGAUUUAACGUUAUUUGCUUUUCGGAAAGCCUCUGGUUUCACACAAGGCUUCUGAUCGGACUUCUGAGUCAAGAUCAAGGAGGACAAGGGAGAUGGCCUCAGCUGCCUUUCCAAACCUUAAAUGCUGCAUCUCUAAACCAAUCUUACCUUGGUCCAACACACCACACCACAUAUACUGAUACUGAUACUGAUACUCCACCAUCGUGUGGUGAAGGUGAUUAAGCAAUUGGAUCAUCACCCCAAGUCACCAAGAGAUGUAGGUUCGAAUUCCGCUCAGAAUCUGAGGAAUUUAAAAUCAAACAAUCAAAUAAGUCUGGAAUUUUUGAAAAAAUACUGAUCUUGGUAAACUUGAAACUGCCAGAUGGUUGUAAAACAUUAAACUAGUUUAGGGAUAGAAAUAUGCCAUCCUUUUGAAUUCAGUCUCACUAUUGUCCUGUAUCUUCAGGUAUGGUUUUGCCAGUGACGUCUAUAUUCCAUCAACAUGGCGGAUGCUCAGUGGCGCAGCGGCAGAGUCACUGCCUUACAGCGCCAGAAACCUGGGUUCCAUCCUGACCACUGGUGAGGUCUGUGUGGAAUUUCUACGUUCUCCCUGUGACCGCUUGGGUUUUCUCUGGGUGCUCUGAUUCAUCCCACAUCCCAAAGACAUGCGCGUUGUAGGUUAAUUGGCAUCUGUAGAUUGCCCCUAGUGUGUAGGAUGUGAAACUGGGAUAACAUAG